GGGAAAAGAUAAUGAGUUCUAUUUUAGACAUACUGAGGUAAGAUGUCUCUACUACAUAUCCAGUUUAAGAUGUCUGAAAGGUAAUUGGAUCUCCAAAGGGACAC